GACAGCUUCCACUAAGUCCCACCACAGACCUUGAGAAGACACUGCUGGGUGCCAUCAGUGGGCUGUCUCGCCAGUUAAAUCAACACAUGACACAGUUCACGCAGUUUGCAGUUGAGGUGAGGCAGCAAAUGGCUGACAUCAAUGCCAGACUGAUUUCCCUGGAGGAGCACAGCCGAAACUGUUCUUCAGGAGAAGAGCCCACCAGGAAAAAAAGACGAGUGCACAAUCCAAAAAUUGCGGAAACGGUCCGGCGCCUUCACAAGUGAAGGAAAUAACAGGCGUUAUGAACCGGAGCAAGGCGGCCUGUAAGACAUACUAUGAGACUGUCCGGAGGAACUUCAGGUACAGUCAACCAGACCUUGCGAACCAGGCAGCAGCCAUUAAGAGUUCAGCCCGCAGCAGACAGAGAAGGAAG